rnacentral:rRNA from 1 species
GUGUCAGCCGCCGCGGUAAUACGGAGGGGGCGAGCGUUAUUCGGAAUUAUUGGGCGUAAAGGGCGCGUAGGCGGCCCGCUAAGUCAAAGGUGAAAUCCCUCGGCUCAACUGAGGAACUGCCUUUGAAACUGACGGGCUCGAGGCCGGGAGGGGGUAGCGGAAUUCCCAGUGUAGCGGUGAAAUGCGUAGAUAUUGGGAGGAACACCGGUGGCGAAGGCGGCUACCUGGACCGGUUCUGACGCUGAUGCGCGAAAGCGUGGGUAGCAAACAGGAUUAGAAACCCUUGUAGUCC